CAGUCAGCAGCUGCCUGAGGAUCUGGGAGAGACCUAGCAGGCAGUGAGGACAGUGGAUGGCAAGGGGCCUCAGAGCUCUGUGACCUCAUAAUUUUCCUGUGGGACCACAAAGGUGGCUUCCACAGUGCAUAGUGGUUAUCAGCUGUGCCUCCCUCUUAGAGGUCCUCGGAGUCCAGAGUCCUCGAAGGGAAAUCUGACACAAAGAAGCAGCAGGUAAAUGAAGGAGAAAAGAAAAGAACAAAAUCCACCGGGAACCAGAGACUUCCAGGCUCCAAAGACAGGCAAUCUCCACCAGGAAGGCUGGAGUGCAGCUGAGGUCUGGCUUUAGCCAAGGAGAGCACCUUGAAACCUGGCAGAGAAUUACAGUGAACCAGAAGACUAAGUGAAGCAUGAACUGGCAUAAUAUGCUUUCCUGGCUGAAAACCAUGAAUGACCCAGAAUAGUUCAUAUCUUUGGAAGAUCCUUAUUUUCCUUGUAAAUGAAAGUCAUGCAUUUGGAAUAAUAACAUGAAAUGAUG
rnacentral:lncRNA from 1 species